CAGCCGCCGCGGGAAAACGGAGGGGGCUAGCGUUGUUCGGAAUUACUGGGCGUAAAGCGCACGUAGGCGGCUUGGUAAGUUAGAGGUGAAAGCCCGGAGCUCAACUCCGGAAUUGCCUUUAAGACUGCCGAGCUAGUAGGUGAGAGAGGUAAGUGGAAUUCCGAGUGUAGAGGUGAAAUUCGUAGAUAUUCGGAAGAACACCAGUGGCGAAGGCGGCUUACUGGCACAUUCUAGACGCUGAGGUGCGAAAGCGUGGGGAGCAAACAGGAUUAGAUACCCCUGUAGUCCCUGUCUCUUAUAC
rnacentral:rRNA from 1 species